UCCGGUUUGUCACCGGCGGUCUCCGCAGAGUUCCCAACUGAAUGGUGGCAACUGCGGACAAGGGUUGCGCUCGUUGCGGGACUUAACCCAACAUCUCACGACACGAGCUGACGACAGCCAUGCAGCACCUGUCUCACGGUUCCCGAAGGCACCAAUCCAUCUCUGGAAAGUUCCGUGGAUGUCAAGACCAGGUAAGGUUCUUCGCGUUGCCUCGAAUUAAACCACACGCUCCGCUGCUUGUGCGGGCCCCCGCCUAUUCCUUUGAGUUUUAAUCUUGCGACCGUACUCCCCAGGCGGGAUGCUUAAAGCGUUAGCUGCGCCACUGACGAGCAAGCUCGCCAACGGCUAGCAUCCAUCGUUUACAGCGUGGACUAC
rnacentral:misc_RNA from 1 species